rnacentral:misc_RNA from 1 species
GAUGAAGAACGUAGCGAAAUGCGAUAAGUAAUGUGAAUUGCAGAAUUCAGUGAAUCAUCGAAUCUUUGAACGCACAUUGCGCCCGCCAGUAUUCUGGCGGGCAUGCCUGUUCGAGCGUCAUUUCAACCAUCAAGCCCCAGGCUUGUGUUGGGGACCUGCGGCUGCCGCAGGCCCUGAAAACCAGUGGCGGGCUCGCUGUCACACCGGGCGUAGUAGAUUUUAUCUCGCUCAGGGCGUGCUACGGGUUCCGGCCGUUAAAAAGCCUUUUUUACCCAAGGUUGACCUCGGAUCAGGUAGGAAUACCCGCUGAACUUAAGCAUAUCAAUAAGCGGAGGA